CCCUAUGGGGUGCAGCAGGCGAGAAACCUUUGCAAUGUGCGCAAGCACGACAAGGUUAAUCCGAGUGUUUCCUGCUAAAGGAAUCUUUUGUUAGUUGUAAAACCACUGAUGAAUAAGGGGUGGGCAAGUUCUGGUGUCAGCCGCCGCGGUAAAACCAGCACCUCAAGUGGUCAGGAUGAUUAUUGGGCCUAAAGCAUCCGUAGCCUGUUCUGUAAGUUUCCGGUUAAAUCCAUUAGCUCAACUAAUGGGCUGCCGAAAAUACUGCAAAACUAGGGAGUGGGAGAGGUAGACGGUACUCGGUAGGAAGGGGUAAAAUCCUUUGAUCUAUUGAUGACCACCUGUGGCGAAGGCGGUCUACCAGAACACGUCCGACGGUGAGGGAUGAAAGCUGGGGGAGCAAACCGGAUUAGAUACCCGGGUAGUCCCAGCUGUAAACUAUGCAAACUCAGUGAUGCAUUGGCUUGAUGCCAAUGCAGUGCUGCAGGGAAGCCGUUAAGUUUGCCGCCUGGGAAGUACGUACGCAAGUAUGAAACUUAAAGGAAUUGGCGGGGGAGCACCACAAGGGGUGAAGCCUGCGGUUCAAUUGGAGUCAACGCCAGAAAUCUUACCCGGAGAGACAGCAGAAUGAAGGUCAAGCUGAAGACUUUACCAGACAAGCUGAGAAGAGGUGCAUGGCCCAC
rnacentral:rRNA from 1 species